UACGAAGGGGGCUAGCGUUGCUCGGAAUGACUGGGCGUAAAGGCGCGUAGGCGGAUGGCACAGUCAGAUGUGAAAUUCCCGGGCUUAACCUGGGGGCUGCAUUUGAUACGUGUGAUCUAGAGUGAGGAAGAGGGUCGUGGAAUUCCCAGUGUAGAGGUGAAAUUCGUAGAUAUUGGGAAGAACACCGGUGGCGAAGGCGGCGACCUGGUCCUUGACUGACACUGAGGCGCGAAAGCGUGGGGAGCAAACAGG
rnacentral:rRNA from 1 species